UACGGAGGGGGCAAGCGUUAUUCGGAUUUAUUGGGCGUAAAGCGCGCGCAGGCGGUUCAGCAAGUCUGAUGUGAAAUCUCCACAGCUCACCUGGGAGAGGCCAUUGGAAACUGCUGAACUUGAGGUCCGGAGAGGCCGGCGGAAUUCCCGGUGUAGCGGUGGAAUGCGUAGAUAUCGGGAAGAACACCAGUGGCGAAGGCGGCCGGCUGGACGGCACCUGACGCUGAGGCGCGAAAGUGUGGGGAGCAAACGGG
rnacentral:rRNA from 1 species